UGGGGAAUAUUGGACAAUGGGCGAAAGCCUGAUCCAGCAAUGCCGCGUGAGUGAUGAAGGCCUUAGGGUUGUAAAGCUCUUUUACCCGGGAUGAUAAUGACAGUACCGGGAGAAUAAGCUCCGGCUAACUCCGUGCCAGCAGCCGCGGUAAUACGGAGGGAGCUAGCGUUAUUCGGAAUUACUGGGCGUAAAGCGCACGUAGGCGGCUUUGUAAGUUAGAGGUGAAAGCCUGGAGCUCAACUCCAGAAUUGCCUUUAAGACUGCAUCGCUUGAAUCCAGGAGAGGUGAGUGGAAUUCUGAGUGUAGAGGGUGAAAUUCGUAGAUAUUCGGAAGAACACCAGUGGUGAAGGCGGCUCACUGGACUGGUAUUGACGCUGAGGUGCGAAGCGUGGGAGCAACAGGAUUAGAUACCCUGGUAGUCCACGCCGUAACGAUGAUAACUAGCUGUCGGGGCUCUUAGAGCUUCGGUGGCGCAG
rnacentral:rRNA from 1 species